UUGUGACUGCUUUAGUUUAACUGAUCAAGUGGGGGUACUUUUCUAUCUUCUUUUACAUUGUGAAUUACCCAAUACUGACGGAAGUCCGACCUCUGCUGGAAUCAGAAGGAUAAAAACGUUAUAGUAAACAAAGGGAUAGUGGUGUGGUUUGUGUUUUACAGAGACCAUAUAGAAAUGCAGCCAAAAAUUCUACAAUUUCUACUUUGUGCAUGUAUUUAGUCCAUGUGACCCCUGUAAUUCAUCAGUUUGCAAAAUGUUUCCAAAUGUCACCUUCAUAUUGAAGCAACUUGUCUUUUAGUAUUAAAUGUGCCUUUAACUCUCAUCCUUUUGUGUGCAGUCCCUACUGCUUUCAAUAAAGUUUGGUGACAAAAAAAAACCCCUCUCUCAGUACAGCGUUCCCUAAAAUUUGUGCAUAGCAGCAAUAAGAGAGGCGGAAGAGAAAAACCAGCAGAAGGAGGGCACAUCUGUACUGUACUGAGCCAACUGGAAGUUCAGAUAAGUCAUCAUGAAUGACAUACCUUUGUAUAAAUAUAAAGAUUCCUGCUGCAAUUAAAAGGACAUUGCAGCCAAAGAAGAGCAAACUUGUUCUACAUUUGGAUUUGAAUAAUACCAUCCUGGUCUCUGACGUGGCUACUGGGCAAAUGCCCAGAACUAUGCUAAACUCUUACCUGAGCACCAUCACCUGGGGACAGAUCAGUCAAACUGGUUACUAAGAAUACUGAGUGCUGACUACGUAAUGUGCACAAAGGUAUGAGACCUAGUGCAAUGUAAACCGUGACAGCGUCUCAGGUAAUAUAAGAUCAGAUAUUUAAAAUUGCUUUGAGAAGAUUGUCUUGGACUUUACAUAUGGACUAUGCAUCACAAAUGGUUAAUAUUACACAAAAUAGAAAGUCAAUUCAUGAUGUCACCGCAGAAGGGGAGGAGAUUGUGACCACACCCUAAACCACCCCCCCCCCCUCAGGAUGUUGAAUAUAAGUGUUUGGUGGAAGUAAUCACAUUAGGCUUGAUAAAGGGUUCAGAAGGGCCCGAAACGUCGCCCUUCUGUUUGUUCAUAUAUGGGCUAAUAAACACUACGGAUUAUUGCAUCAAUUCAAGUGUGCUGCUGGAUUUUUUGUUCUGGAUGUGAAGUGUACCCAAAAAGCAGGCAAGGGUCUUCCAGUUCAGCACCUGAGACCCACACGGGUUUAAUGAAGGUAGAGCACUCCUAAUUACUAUUCUUGGGAAAGUUUAGACACUCCACAAACACAAUGCAGAAAUACACAGUAGAUUAAAACACCUUUAUUGCAUAUAUGGGUGUAAUGCGAGUAAAUGUUUUAUUUCUAUUUAAAGGCUUUCUCUAUUUGUCCAGCGCCAGCAAAUACAAUGUGUUUUGGCAGCAGCCGUCCUAUUAAAUGUGAGAAUAUUUUUCAUCCGUUGGUGUGUAGAGAGGAAUGAAUGAUGCUACAUGUCAUUGUAUUCUAAACAGCGUAUCUGUAUCUGCUUUGUAAGGACCUGUGGUGUAAUUAUAUAGAGGGGCCGACUCCAGACCAGCGACGGAUGCAAAAUCACAGGUGAAUCAUGACGCAUGCAUUGGGGGCAUCCUCCCCCGCUGCAUGCUCACUCAGGUGUCAGCGCAUUAUUUAAAAGAAAAAGAAGAGCGGGAAGGGCCCCCCUCGACUGCUGGGUCUGCUUCCUCUAUAGUUACACCAUUGCGUCCCUGGUCAACCACGAUUUCAUGGGUUGGGCCCAAAAUGUUCCUUUUAUCCACCUCAGGCCCCUGAAAUUACACCACUGGUAAUGGCCAUGGCACAAAUGGCUACUUGGGGUGCUUAAAGCACUUUUUUUUUUAGUGGCCCAAAUAUGUUGCACCAAAAUGCACAAAGCAGACUCUUUCAUUAAUUUUAUUGUAUGUCACCUGUCAAGCAUUCUUGUAUGCCUUUCAGACAAUAGAUUGUACCAGGGCCGGAACUAAGAGCAGGCAGGCGGAAAGGUGCUGUGAAGAAGCGAGUGAAAGCUAGGGGGGUCAUCAGCCACAAUAAAUCUCUACAGGGAAACAAACAAAGCUGCUUGAGUUCUGCAUGGCUGGGAAGUA